UGGGGAAUAUUGGUCAAUGGGCGAGAGCCUGAACCAGCCAAGUCGCGUGAAGGAAGAAGGUUCUAUGGAUUGUAAACUUCUUUUGUAAGGGAAUAAAAAGAGUUACGUGUAACUUAUUGUAUGUACUUUACGAAUAAGGAUCGGCUAACUCCGUGCCAGCAGCCGCGGUAAUACGGAGGAUCCAAGCGUUAUCCGGAUUUAUUGGGUUUAAAGGGUGCGUAGGCGGGUUUUUAAGUCAGUGGUGAAAGUUUGCAGCUCAACUGUAAAAUUGCCAUUGAAACUGAAGACCUUGAGUGUAAAUGAGGUAGGCGGAAUGUGUUGUGUAGCGGUGAAAUGCUUAGAUAUAACACAGAACACCAAUUGCGAAGGCAGCUUACUGGGAUACAACUGACGCUGAGGCACGAAAGCGUGGGGAUCAAACA
rnacentral:rRNA from 1 species